rnacentral:rRNA from 1 species
UACGGAGGGUGCGAACGUUAAUCGGAAUCACUGGGCGUAAAGCGCGCGUAGGCGGUUCGUUAAGUGGGAUGUGAAAUCCCCGGGCUUAACCUGGGAAUUGCAUUUCAAACUGGCCGACUAGAGUACGGUAGAGGGAGGUAGAAUUUCCUGUGUAGCGGUGAAAUGCGUAGAUAUAGGAAGGAAUACCAGUGGCGAAGGCGGCCUCCUGGAUCGAUACUGACGCUGAGGCGCGAAAGCGUGGGGAGCAAACAGG